rnacentral:lncRNA from 1 species
UGCCAGCAGACCCUGGAGCUGUGGCACUGCCCUAGCAUUUGACUCAGGAAUGUUUCCUCUUCCAGCUCACAGAGAAACUCUCUGUGGUCCACAUUUACCUUAAAUAUAAGAAAAUCAACUUGUCAUUGGACUUAUAGAAAUAUACACAUGUUUGAAAGGGUUUGAGACACGCUAGGAGGUUUCUAAGGAGGCUUUGGGAUCAACAACCAAGAGUAAGCACUGAAGAUGCUUUGACUGCUUUGAGCCACCCCCUGGCUUCCUUUGGCUGGAGUCAGCCUUCUGUCCGGAAGGGCAGGCCCUGUGCCAUGGCAUCCUAACCACAUCCUCACCAACUGGAGUCUGUUUCCAUUAAAAUGAAGUAAUUAAAAAUAACAGGAAAGGCUUUCUAUUUAUAGAUGGUUUCAUAGACACUUUUAAAAAUACAACCUGAAUUUGGCUCCAGUAAUUGGCAUUGGUUCUUUCAGGUUCUACGUGGAUUUUAUUUUUAGUGGUGCAGAAUGAUUUCUGAAGCAUUCAGCUGUAAUAACAGAAGAGGGCAACAGAUGGUUUUGUGAAACAUCAGGCUCCUUAUUUUGAAGAGAAUGGCUGCAAGGAAAAGGAAGGUUCUCUUUAGCUGUGAUACUCAUUCUCUUAGAGAUGAAAACUGCUUUCCAGUGACAAUCAGAAGGGGAAAGGUUGAACUGUCAUUUUUCUGAGAAAAAUAACAUGGAAUAAAAGGGCCUACAUUCUCUUUCCUACAUUCUCAUCAUUCUACAGUUAUUUGGGGUUUUUAUCUCUCCCACUUGAUGUAUAUAUUCAUAAAACCUCAGGAAGAAACAUGAUCAAAAGUAAAACUGAAAG